rnacentral:rRNA from 1 species
UAGGGAAUCUUCCGCAAUGGACGAAAGUCUGACGGAGCAACGCCGCGUGAGUGAAGAAGGAUUUCGGUUCGUAAAACUCUGUUGUUAGGGAAGAAAAAAUGUAUAGUAACUAUAUACAAAAGAGACGGUACCUAACCAGAAAGCCACGGCUAACUACGUGCCAGCAGCCGCGGUAAUACGUAGGUGGCAAGCGUUGUCCGGAAUUAUUGGGCGUAAAGCGCGCGCAGGUGGUUUAGAAAGUCUGAUGUGAAAGCACACGGCUCAACCGGGGGGGGUCAUUGGAAACUAAUAAACUUGAGUGAAGGAGAGAAAAGUGGAAUUCCUAGUGUAGCGGUGAAAUGCGUAGAGAUUAGGAGGAACACCGGUGGCGAAAGCGGCUUUUUGGCCUGCAACUGACACUGAGGCGCGAAAGCGUGGGGAGCAAACAGG